GAUGAACGCUGGCGGCGUGCCUAAUACAUGCAAGUCGAGCGAACAGAUGAGGAGCUUGCUCCUCUGACGUUAGCGGCGGACGGGUGAGUAACACGUGGAUAACCUACCUAUAAGACUGGGAUAACUUCGGGAAACCGGAGCUAAUACCGGAUAAUAUAUUGAACCGCAUGGUUCAAUAGUGAAAGACGGUUUUGCUGUCACUUAUAGAUGGAUCCGCGCCGCAUUAGCUAGUUGGUAAGGUAACGGCUUACCAAGGCAACGAUGCGUAGCCGACCUGAGAGGGUGAUCGGCCACACUGGAACUGAGACACGGUCCAGACUCCUACGGGAGGCAGCAGUAGGGAAUCUUCCGCAAUGGGCGAAAGCCUGACGGAGCAACGCCGCGUGAGUGAUGAAGGGCUUCGGAUCGUAAAACGCUGUUAUUAGGGAAGAACAAAUGUGUAAGUAACUAUGCACGUCUUGACGGUACCUAAUCAGAAAGCCACGGCUAACUACGU
rnacentral:rRNA from 1 species